UUUUUUUUUUUUUUUUUCUUUUUAGAGUUGCACCUACGGCACGUGGAAGUUCCCAGGCUAGGGGUCGAAUCAGAGCUACAGCUGCCAGCCUACACCACAGUCAUAGCAACACAGGAUCCGAGCCUUGUCUGCGACCUACACUGCAGCUCACAGCAAUGCAGGAUCCUUAACCCACUGAGCAAGGCCAGAGAUCGAACCUGUGUCCUCAUGGAUUCUAGUCGGGUUCAUUACCACUGAGCCACAACAGGAAUUGAGGCCACGGGAAGGCUCCUGUUAAAGAACCAGAGCUUUUCCAGGAAGAGAAAUACAUUCCUCCCAAGGACCUCAUGAGCCUGGAUCAGCUCUUCCCACACCCAAGCCCUCAGCCUGCAGACCACAGGGCUCCAAGGCAGUGGGCAUGUUUUGACCACAGCCGUAUCACAUCUGCAGAGCACUUCCCAGUUUACAAUGUGUUUAAAAGGUGUGAGGACUUGUGAUGGAACAGGACGGGAGAUAAUGUGAGAAAAAGAAUGUACAUAUAUGUAUAACGGGGUCACUUUGCUAUACAGCAGAAAUUGACAAAACACUGUAAAUCAACUGUAAUUAAAAGAAUGUUAACAUCAACCCAUAAAUAAAAAGGGUGAAGAACGGGACCUCUGAGACCACACUAUCUGGAUCCAAACCCAUUUCAACAACUUUCUUUGCCAUUUCCCCCUGCAGGGCAAGCAGCACGAUGACCGCAGCUACCGCCUGGCGCUGCUGUUGGGAGAGGAUAACGUGGGCUCAACAGGUUGAGAGGCACCUCGACUGAUAAUCUGGCACUGGACACACAUGAGAAAUACAGACUGACCACAGCCCCCACCCUUGGGCGGGUGUCUUUCCUGGUGACAAGCAGAACAAGAUUCCUCAUGGAAUGCAUGGGAACACACAGGUAGGACUGCACAUGCGCUGGGAAGGAUGGCUCUAAGGGGACGGAGGUGCGGAGGAGAAAGUAGCUGAGCGACCAGAAAAAGCCAGAGCACCUCGAAAGGAGGUACAGGACUGAAAGGGAGAAAGGAGUACUCCUCAAAGAGACGGUUAGCUUUGUUUCUACAGAAAAGCCAGGUUUCUCUCCCACAGCCUAGACCAGAAUUAGCCACACGCUUUCCCAGCCUGUGACUAACACACUGCUGAUCUCUUGACCUAAGAGCACGCUGCUCAAUUCUGUACAGCUACCUAGGUGGCAUGUGAAAUGUGAUGUGCUGUCUUUGUCAGGGCUUUCCAGAGAAACCAAGCCAGUGACGUGUGUAGAGACACAGGAAGAGACUUCUUCUGAGGCACUGGGUCAUAGGUUCAGAGGCUGACGAGUCCAAAAUCUACAAAGAGGGCUGGAGACCCAGACAGGAGCCGAGGCUAGAAUUCAAGGCCAAAGGCUGGCUGCUGCAUUCCUUCCUCCCAGGAGGGGAGAGGUUAGUCUUUUGUGCUCGUCAGGCCUUCAACUGAUUGGAAGAGGCCCACCCCUAUCCUGAAGGGCAACCUGCUCUACUCAAGUCCAUGAUUUCAAAUGUUAAUCUCAUCCAUAAACACCUUCACAGAAACAUCCAGAAUAAUGUUUGGCCAAUAUCUCAGCCAGGUUGACACAUAAAAUUAACCAUAAUGUAAGUCCUUGUUGCCUCCAGAGGUGCCGUUUCACAGAAAAUUAUGAGACUGCCAAUGAAAACACAUGAGUUCUACGGAGAUGUUUGAAAAAGUUAAAAAACAAAACAAAACAAAACACAGAGGUGGCAAAGGAAUAAAACCCACCAAAUUCAAGAUGGUGGCUAACUCAGGUGGGAAGACAGCGAGAUUCAUUUUAUCACUAUGCUUUGUAACGCAUAUCUUCUUGUGUAUAUAUCGAAUAUUAUAUAAAAUAAAGGAGUUCCCUAGUGGUCUAGCAAUUAAGGAUCUGGCAUUGUCACUGCUGUGGCUCAGGUCACUGCUGUGGCAUGGAUUCGAUCCCUGGCCUGAGAACUUCUGCAUGCCACAGCUGUGGAAAGAGCCAAAAAAAAUUAAAAAAUAAUAAUAAUAAGGGGAGAGACUAAGCAUCUAGGCCAUGUAGUGAGACCGCCACCUCAGUCCAGCCUCCUGACCACUCCUGCACAGAAAUCCCCUUCUUGGCUCAUUUUUAUCUCCUCCGUCCAGGGGCUCGUGUUGCUAGAUGACUCCUUCAUGUGCUUAGCCCUUUCUUCUCAAAUGGGUUUUAAGUCCCCGAAGUCCUGGGGCAGUUUCUUACAUCUCUUCAUUAUCCCCACAGGUCUGGCUGAAGGAGUAACUCAAUAAACACCGAAGGCAGAACACCAAGGUGGGUGGGGGCAAGGGUAAGAAAAAUAAACCAGCGGAACAGCAGAACUGCUUGGGUGGCGCUGGGCUUCAGCUGCACGGAAGGCAUGAAUAGCUCCGUAACCGGCUUGAGGGAUCAGAAGGCGAGCAGGGGCACGUGUGGGAUUUUUACGUGCCUGCAAGGAAACAAUGCCCAUCCCGCUUGGUGGUCUGCUACAAAUAGUACCUGUGUCAGUAAGGAUAACACAGCAAGGCUUGUGGACGGCAGUGCACACCAGCGAGCGGGGAGCCCUGAUCAGCUGAGAUGCCCAGACUGGGAGCACACUUCCCAGGCACAUGGGACACUCAGCCCCAAGUGUCCUUACGAAACAUACUGUGGCACUGUGGCGCUUCUAGCCAAGUUCCCAAGCCAAUGUCCAGUCUCUCUCUCUCUCUCUCUUUUUUUUUUUUUUGUCUUUUUAGGGCCGCAUCUGUGGCACAUGGAAGUUCCCAGGCUAGGAGUUGAAUAGGAGCUGUGGCUGCUGGCCACAACCACAGCCACACCAGACCCAAGCCAUGUCUGCAACCUACAGCACAGCUCGCAGCAACGC
rnacentral:lncRNA from 1 species